CAUUGGUUCAUUCCUACAAUAUUAGCAUGACAGCAGAUGAGCCAAUGUCAGAACAGUGUGUGAUACCUGAUUUCCCUCGAGAGGAGAGAUGUGUGCAGAGUUAUGAAGAAUUGUGUGCCUCCUGAGCUUCCCAAAUUCUUCUGAUGUGAUCCUGUUGGAGCUGGGAUUCCUGGUGAACUUCAU